UACAGAGGGAGCGAGCGUUGUUCGGAAUCACUGGGCGUAAAGGGCGCGUAGGCGGCCGAUCAAGUCGGGGGUGAAAGCCUGUGGCUCAACCACAGAAUUGCCUUCGAUACUGUUUGGCUUGAGACCGGAAGAGGUUAGUGGAACUGCGAGUGUAGAGGUGAAAUUCGUAGAUAUUCGCAAGAACACCAGUGGCGAAGGCGGCUGACUGGUCCGGUUCUGACGCUGAGGCGCGAAAGCGUGGGGAGCAAACAGG
rnacentral:rRNA from 1 species